rfam:Anopheles epiroticus strain epiroticus2 unplaced genomic scaffold supercont1.46, whole genome shotgun sequence.
AACCUAUUAGUGUUAGUGGGUGUGAAUCUAGUGUUUCACAUUUAUUUGAAAUUGUGACUAGAUCCACACUCAUUAAUGUUAAUGAGGA